AAUCUAUGUUGAGGGCAGCAUCGAAUCAAAUCUUUAUACCUUUCCCAUGCUUCAUAGAGUGACUCAAAAUCAUUUUGUUUGAAUUGACUAGUCUCACUCUUGAGUUG